rnacentral:rRNA from 1 species
GGGAAUAUUGGACAAUGGGCGCAAGCCUCAUCCAGCCAUGCCGCGUCAGUGAUGAAGGCCCUAGGGUUGUACAGCUCUUUCAACGGUGAAGAUAAUGACGGUAACCGUAGAAGAAGCCCCGGCUACCUUCGUGCCAGCAGCCGCGGUAAUACGAAGGGGGCUAGCGUUGUUCGGAUUUACUGGGCGUACAGCGCACGUAGGCGGAUUGUUAAGUUAGGGGUGAAAUCCCAGGGCUCAACCCUGGAACUGCCUUUAAUACUGGCAAUCUCG